rnacentral:lncRNA from 1 species
UUUUUUUUCAGUGUGAUCCCAGAGUGGCAGAGAUAUAGAGUAGGUUUUUAGAGAGCGCCGGGCCAUGGCUGGAGGCAGCAGCUCACGCGAUGAGACGGUCACGUCUGAUUUCACGAUUUGAUCAAUGUAUUGUUAUUUUCUGUGUGCGUGGAGAACUGGAGAUCGACGACUUUGCACGCACUGCAGUCUGAGUGCAGAACUGCAGCACGGAUCGAGCUUGCAUGCGUUGGGAAUGAUUUAUUGUUUGCACAGUGGAGUGGAGUACGUGCUGUACAUACGUACCGGUGGCACUAUCAACCACUUGUAGCUCUCUCUGGUUCCGACGCACCGAGCCGAUGGGUGGUGGUAGUAGCCACGGUAGAGUAGAGCACUGCAGAUGCAUGCAGGGAGAUGAGACGGGGUACGGGCGCGAGCGAUUCCCGGGGGGACCUGACCUCAUCUGACGGAUGGGACGUGCACACAAGCGUUGCUUCAUCCUGCAAUUUCUUCUCUCUUUUUUUCGUGCAAUUUCUUCUUUUUCUUUUAGCCUGUUGUUUUCUGGCUAGCGCUUCUUCUUUUCUUUUUCAUUUCCCCCUUUUUAAUGCACGUGUACCUUUUCUAUACAGAAAUGACAAAUCACGAAUGUUGAGAUUUUAAGCAUGGCAAUCCGAACGUUUUUCAUGGCAACUUUAGUUCACGCGAGAUUGGCAAACAAAGGCAAUUUUCUGACAUAAAAUCAAAGGACAAAGUUAUCAUGUUUUAACAACUAAAGUUGCCACCACGCGUCAACUAAAGUUACCAUAAGAAAACGUUCGGGGUGACAUACUUAAAAUCCGAACGUUCGGGAUUUAUGGGGGUCCUUUCUAUAUGCAUAAGGUUUCGUGAGUUGUGCAAUGUUCGGAUUCGGAUCAAGUAGAAGGAAAUACUGCUGUAAAAUGGUACCGAUUCUAAUGAGGUUCUCGUUGUUAGUUCAAUGGGCCUUCCAGCCACUCGUUUUUUUAAUUGUUUGAAUUGCUUACAACAUGUGUCACGUGGUCAUCCAGCCACUCGGUUUGUUCAUGGGAGCUAUAUCUCACAUUAAGCUAGUUGGAAGGAUCUCAUGGCGGCCCAUUAGCUUACACCGAAAAUACAAAUCGAGAAGAAUAAGGGCGAGUGCCGGGAGUCCAUCCCAGGAUCUCCUAGAUAGUAGACAAAGCUGCUUGCCGCUGGGUUAGCUUCCCUUUCAUGAUAAACAGCAGAGGGGCAACCUACUUGAGAGGAAAACGAUCCGUUUUUGCAUUGGUUUUUCCGGCUUUUUUGUUUUUAUUUUUUCAUCGGGUUUUCUUUGUUUCUUUUCUCUGUUUUCACUGGGUUUACUUUAUUUAUUUUUUCUUUGAUUUUCUUUGGUUCUUUUCUCCAGCUUUCACUUGUUUUUUCUUUUCUUUCUUUUUUUCUUCAUUUUCUUUUGGNNNNNNNNNNNNNNNNNNNNNNNNNNNNNNNNNNNNNNNNNNNNNNNNNNNNNNNNNNNNNNNNNNNNNNNNNNNNNNNNNNNNNNNNNNNNNNNNNNNNNNNNNNNNNNNNNNNNNNNNNNNNNNNNNNNNNNNNNNNNNNNNNNNNNNNNNNNNNNNNNNNNNNNNNNNNNNNNNNNNNNNNNNNNNNNNNNNNNNNNNNNNNNNNNNNNNNNNNNNNNNNNNNNNNNNNNNNNNNNNNNNNNNNNNNNNNNNNNNNNNNNNNNNNNNNNNNNNNNNNNNNNNNNNNNNNNNNNNNNNNNNNNNNNNNNNNNNNNNNNNNNNNNNNNNNNNNNNNNNNNNNNNNNNNNNNNNNNNNNNNNNNNNNNNNNACAUGAUCAAAUAUUUUCAUUGUGUUUUAACACAUGGUCAAUACUUUUUCUGUACACAUUUAAUAUUUUUUAAAUGCUUGAUUAGAAUUUUUUAAAUACUUGUUCAACAUUUUUGUUCAAAUGCUUGAUUAAAAUAUUUAUAUACAUGGUCAUUUUUUCUCAUCAUUUUUAAUACAUUGUGAACAUUUUUUCUAUACACAUUUAACAUUUUAGUAAUGUUGGAUUAACAUUUUUGAAAUACUUGUUCAACAUAUUUUUAAAUGCUUGAUUAAUAUUUUUAUAUACACGAAAAAAUUCAUCAUUUUUUAAUACAUACCCAACAUUUUUUCUAUACACAUUUAACAUUCUUUGAAUGCAUGGUUAACAUUUCGCAAAACAUUAUGUAAAUUAUAUAUUUGUAAUGUAUAUAUUUAGAAUAUUUGAAGCGUAAAUGAAAGUAAAAAAGGAAAUCACAAAACAAAAAACGUAAAAAAAUCAUUAACAAAAAUGAGGCACUGGCGUCCUGCACACUGGUUCAACCCAUACGCUCGUGCGACUGAGAGGCGUUCAGCGAGUACGAAGCCCGUUUCACGUAACGCGAGACAUAGUCGGGCCCUUUGUUCACUGCAUCCUAACAUAACUCUGCAAGCCCAUAAUCUGGGCAUUCCAUCCUUCCUUGGUUAGGCCCCGGAUGGUCCAGAGGUACAUAUAGGCCGUGGGCGCAGAUGUGUCUCGCUUACAUGGGCAUAGUCCAGAAAAAGCGAGCAAGCGCAGGAGUGUUUUUUUUACUUCAUUUUUAUAUUUUGUCGGUUUAACUUUAAUUUUAAAAGUAUGCGUAAAUAUAAAAAAAGUUUGUCAAUUUUUAAAAUAUUUUCAAAUAAAAAUGUUGUGCCUUUUAAAGAAGUUCUAAAAAAUACAUGUAUUUGAAGAUUUGUCCACGAAUUCAAAUAAUGUUCAUGGAUUAAAAAAUAUCCAUGAUUUUGAACAGUGAUCCUGAAUUAAAAAAUGAAAGUGACUUGAAAAAUGUUCAUGAAUUUUAAAGGUUAAAAGGAAAAGAACGAUAAAACAAAAAAUUGAAAGAAAACCAAAAAACAGAUGAAAAAACCUUUUGGAACCUUUCCAAAACCAGGCGAAGGGUUACAAACGCUUCCCGAAACCAGAAACUGGCCCCCUACUCUCAGGUUAGCCCACUUCAACCGUAGGGGAACCCAUAGAAAACGGUUGUAACAAACGAUAUAUAGUAGUCGUGGUGGCCAUGAACUUGGCAAGCGUCGACCUUCCCAUAUUGCAUUGAAUGCCCGCUUGAAGUCCUCUACGUCGAACGAAAGACUUCCUGGUCAAAAGUGUUCAUCACACCUAAACACGACUAUGAGCUAGAUCUACACAAUUGGCGUUGUCGAUGACCCAAGAACAAUACCGAAGAAACUACAAGAAACCGGCUUGAUUGGACACUUUCAUUUUGCUAAGUAGUGCAUAUUUGGCCCAAAUUUAUUAGUGAGCAAGCCUUGUUGGAUAAGGAAAUCGUGUUGUGUGGCACAUGAGGAAGAUUAAAGCCGAUACAACGAAGAAAAUCAAUACAAUUCACAUAAUGUUAAUUUCACCCCAUAAUUUAUUUACGUACUAUAGGCCUGUUUGAGAGUGCUCCUCUCCUUAAAUUCAUCUCCACUCUAGAAAACAUAAGCCAAGCUCAGCUUAUAAGUUAUAAUGUUUGGCGCACACUUAUAAGUUAAAGCAUAACAUCGGUAUUUAUAAAUACCGGUGUUAUAACUUAUAAUGUUUUCCAUCUUUUGUUGCAUUGCUUUAGCUUGGCGGAGUAACUUAUAAUAAUGUCAUGGAUACGACACUAGUGUAAGUUACUAUCUUCGUAGUGCAAAGUCUCAUGGUAGUGUCAUAGAUGUCUUCAUUUAUUAGCUUGACCAAUGAUAAAAUUAUUAGGGCCCAAUAAUUUUUUGAGAUAGCCUUUGACCAAUGAUAAAAUUAUUAGUUUAUGAAAUGUAUGAUAUAAAAAUUGUAUCACUAGAGACUCAUUUCACAUAUGAAUUCGAUGAUAUGCUUUGCGUAACAUGCAUGUCACAUAUUAUUAUGCUAAUCCAUGGUCAAAGGUAAUCUCAAAAAACAUACUAGGCCCUAUAUAUGUGAAUAGAGGGAGUAUGUUACUCCAGUCGUGGUACCAUAACUAACCACUUGACACAUAAAUAAAUUUGUCUUGAAAUGUGUUAUGUUACUAGCUAAAUUACUUUCACCCCGCAAAAAGAAAAUGACAUAGUUAGAGCAACUCUAGCAAACCCCGCAUCCCGCCCCGACCCGCAAAAUAACCGCCAAAUUACGGGUCGGGGCGGAAAAACCUGCCCGAUCAGACCCCGCAUCCCGCCCGGCCUGCAAAUAUUUUUGCGGGGCGCGGCGAAUCUUCUCCCCCAACCUCUAUCUUCACGGGCUGGGAGGCCGACCCGAGCUCAACCCCUAUCCGCGGCGAGAUUUGGCGGGAGGGACAUUUUCACGCGCCCUUUCCCGCUCCCCGCACCCUCCGCCACCAUUGCCCCGCCUCCGCAAGCUCCGGUGCUUCCUCCCCGGCCGUCCCUCGCCGCCAUGGACGACCCCAUGCUGUCCCCCAUCACCGUCGAGGUCACGCACGCUCCAUCCUCUCGGGUGGAUCUCGUCGCCGGCCAUGUUGGCCCCGCCGCCGUCGCCCAAGCAAACGCCGCGCCUGCCCGCAAGCGGCAGGGUAAUGUGGUCGUGCAGGGCGGGUAUCCGGCUGUCCCCGCCACGAUGGCCCGCGCUCCGGGCGCCAACGCGGCAGCGCGAUCCCGGCCGACGGCGGAGAAGGUCAGCAAGGUCGCGGGCGUAAAGCGGAGGAAGAUUCCGGCUACAAAGAAGCCACCUUCUUCAUCCUCUCACUCCAUCCCCCCGAAGGAGGUGCUCCGGCGAUGCCGUUCAACGGUGCCGCUGCUCCCGCAAGUGAGGUGUUCGACGAAAUGGCCGGAAGGUAUGCGUCUUCGAUCUUGGCGAUUUCCUUUCAUUUCCGCCAUUAUUCUCGAUAGCUCGUGACUUGCUAUCAUUCGCUAUAGCGGUGGUUCGAACAAUGCAACAACCGAGUUCGUGAACUUGUUGGACACGAACGCGGUUGACAUUGAUCAAGCCCCUUUCGAACCAUUCGACUACAAUGAAACGAAGGGCAGCGUGGAUGAUCAUGGUUGUGCGGACGAAUUGGAGGAGAUCGAAGCGGAAGCGUAUGAGCAAUCGCAAGCAAAAACUGGGAAAAGCCAAAGAUCGAAGAACUACACGAUCUUGGAAGAUCAAGCUUUGAUCAAAGCAUGGAGUGCGGUGUCUCUUGAUGCAUGCACGGGUACUUCUCAAACCGCCAAGAGAUAUUGGCAAAGGAUCGAAGAUCAAUACUUCCGCAUUAUGGCAAAGCAUCCCAAUAGGACUCCACGCACAUUUCGGCCGCUUCAAGGGCGUUGGGAGAAUAUCAAGCCUAUGUGCAGCCGUUGGGCAGUUUGCUUGGAGCAAGUACGCAAUGCACCUCCAAGUGGCACCGUGGAGUCCGACUAUGUGAGUUUGUUUUGCCUUUGUUCAAGUUAUGCAUCAUCAUAUUGCAUCAUGGGAAAUGAUUGCAUCACUUUGUUCACAUUGUGUAGGACAAGAUUGCUCAACAUAGAUACAAGGACAUGGAAGCUUCGGAAGGCAGAUUCUUCAAACUAGAGCAUUAUUGGGAGUUGCUCCAAAAUUGUGAGAAGUGGAAGUUGAUCGACAAAGAAUCCCCACCAAAGAGAGGCUCACUUACAAACAUGGAUGAAGAUGAGGAUGAUGAUGGCCCAAGAAAUUUGCACAAGCCCGAUGGCGACAAGAAGACUAAGGAGAAGAUAAAAAGAGAGCAAGAAGCAUCGAGCUUGGCUAUUGUUUUCGCGUUUGUCCUGUUGAACUUGGCUUUUGUUUGUCCUGUUUUGUGUUUGCCCUCUUUUGCGUUUGUCUUAUUGAACUUGGCUUUUGUUUGCGCGUAAAACUGUGUUAUGUCGUUUGAAUUUGAACUUAUGUGUCGAAACCUAUGCCAAAUGCGAGAAAUGCCGUUUUCUGUUUGCGGAUCGUCGCGGCGGUGUCCAAGCAGAGCCCGCAGAAGCCGGCCCGUAAAAAGGUAUAUUACGCGAAUAUACUUUUUUACGGAUCCGUUUGGGGGGUCUGCAUCUGUGCCAGCUCAAGCCAGCCCGCAAAAACGAUUUUAGCGAACUGUAAACGUGUUUUGCGGGCCGACGGGAUGCGGGUUUGCUAGAGUUGCUCUCAGAUAGUCCAAGUCAACUUCCAUAUGCAUUGCCCUCGUCACCACGUGUGGCCUCCAAUAAAUGCUUAUCCAGGGAAGCAUCCAAACUUGCUGUUGCAGAUAAUUUAACAAUCUCUAUACCACCCGCGUCAUAAAGCGUGAUCAAUCCCAUGGCAAUCCGGGCAAAACCUACCGCCGAUGACUGAGCAUACGAAAGGAUCCUCUAUGAGUGCACUCUAGCUAUGCGCCUGCGGUCUAGCACACUGCAGAAAAUGAGCUGACUGGACUCACUCUUUCACGCGGUACUUACUUUGCAAUGCGGUUUUCUAGUUCUAGAGAAAUUAAUAUUUUUAUUCUAAUGUCCACGAUGAAUAGAUAAAGUGUUUUUUAACACGGUACAAACGAUCCUACACACGCAUACACGCACUCUUAUCUCUUAUGAAUGCUUGCACACACAUUCUAUCUUAUGAACACCUUCGAGAUACUGAGCCGGCACAAUAUAUUGCGAUUAAAAAAGUCAUCACGGAUACCUUCGUAGUCGACGGGAACUUCUACUCCCACUGAACGAUCAUUGCCGAAAAGUCUGAAAUAAAUCCAGAAAACUGCAGGAGCGGUGCUAAGUCUAAAACUUGAACCCUAUGGCUGGUUUCAUCAAAAAAAUCUAACCAUCUGAAUUACACUCAGUUCGUUAUCAAUAAAGUUACCGAUUUUUGUACAACAGUACAAGUGCAAGUGAUUAACAGAUCAUCCUGCGGCUAUGGAUAUCAAACCUAAUAACUAUAUCCAUAUUGACCGAGAAAUAACCAUUCCCAAAAGAUAAUGUCAAGUCAUAACGGUUCGACCCCCGCGUCGCCUCUGCUCUGGCGACACGGGGGAGCCCCUACCAGCGCCGCCACCUCUCCCCUCCUCCCCCUUCCUUCGUCUCGCCGCCGCCUGAGGAGCCCGCCGGCAAAGCCCGGGCAGGCUCCAGGGAGGCUGGCGGCGGGGCACCUCGCUGGGUGGCGCGACACGCGGAUCCUGGCCGCUCGGGCGCGAUUCGGCGGCGACUGGCGUCGCGGAGGCUGCUCCGGGUGUCCGGCGGCGUCGGCCCUCGGUGUUGCUCCAUUGCUCCGGCGCGGGCGGUGGGACGCGGCAGAGGGGCGGCGGAAGGCGCGUGGCGGCCGGAUCUGGCCGGCCUAGGUCGGAUUCGGAGUGGCAGCGGCUGGGCGCGUCGUCAGAGGUGGUUGGCGGGGUGCGGGGAGGUCUGCGGUGGUCGUUGUGGCGGGCUACAUUGGCGCGCGAGCGGUGGCGUCGUCUCGGGGCGUCUACAGCUCGCAGCGGAGCCGGUGGUAGGAGGGGGCCCGAGCAGCAGCUGCACAAGGGGCUCGGGCGCCGUGGUUCUGGCGUCGAGCGGGGUCUGGGAGGUGGUGUUGUGUUUGCCGGCGCGGUUGCGAGGUGCGGCAGCAGCUGCUGGACGAGGUGGAGCCGGUGGAAGUCGACCAUGGGGAUUGUGCUCUGUGCAAUGCUUCGGAUCUGCUCGGAUUCAGAGGUGUGAAGGAGCUCCGGGCGAAAGUCUUGCACUGACCUUGGGUCGGUGCCGGCAAAAGUGGCGCCAUGGCCAUGGUGUCAUUCCCCUUCUUGAAGGUGUUGCCAUGGAGCUCCAUUACACAACUCUCCGGGAGAAAUCCCUAGCUUCGGUUGGUCGAAGCGGACGAUGACGGCGGCUACGUCGUUUCCUUCUUUGAGGCAUCGCCUUGGAGAGUCAGCAUGUUGCAGUUUGCACGGAUCUCCUCGUCGUCGGGGACAGUGGACGUCGGGGCGGCGGCUCCGGAUGGUUUCUGAUUGUGCGUCGAGAUGGCGAUCUCGAGAACAAUGUGGGUCGUAGCUCUAUGAGGUGGGUUCUAUCUCGACAUUGGUUGGGUGGCAUCCUUGUCCCGCUUGGGUGGUAGGGGUGUCGGCUCGGUCGAUGCGCCCCAGAGUGGGCGGUCUGACUUUACGUCGGGGCGGCAGCCCCGGAUGUGGUGCGACGUUCGUGGUCUGCGAGCGGUUGCCCUGAGCAGCGUGGGCUGCGGGCAGCUGGGUUGUGCGGCGUUGCUGCUCGAGGGGAGUGGUGGUAUGUCGGGGCGGCGGCCCUGGAAGGCGGUGCUGGUUGAUUGCGCUGGGCGCGACGGAGCGGUGGAUGUCGGGGCGGCGGCCCCGAGAGAAUCACUGUGGCUACCAGACUUUUGUGGCAACGACGAUGGUGGGAGCGAUGUCGGCGACGCGGCAAUGGUUGCGGUAGUCGGCUCUUCUUCGGCGUGUCCACGGUUUUGCUUCGGUUUGCUUGUUGCUGUGGAGUCGAAGUUGCGGCGGCGGGGCCCUGUGGUGUACGAUGACCGGCUGUAGGUGGCCCGUUCGGCGAUAUUCCGUGGCGCCAGCCGUGCCUGGUUUUGUUCUUCUGAGUUCUUCGUCAGAGUCGGAGCUGCGUUAUCUGGCCGCAUGUCGACUUGUCGUUGAUUAGAGUGGGCUUUGCCCUGUGUGUUUAGGUCUAUGGGAGUGGGCUUGGCCCUUGUUGUUCCGGGUUUUGCCCGGUUUUCCGUAAUUAACUUGGCAAUUCUCUUCUGCUUAAUUAAUAGACGAGGUAAUCUUUGCCUAUGUUUCGAAAAAAAUGUCAUUUUUAGCUUUUUUUAGUGAAAUGCCCUUAUUAUUUAAGCUUAAGAAAACAAGUAUGUGCAUGUAUGGUCGUUAUACCACAUUUGACUAGAAAAAAAUAAAAGCCAUCUAGCAGAAUAGUAGUAGUACCGGUUGAACACAUUUUUUUGAGAAAACUUCCAAUCCAUUCAAUCAUGACAGUACAAAUAAUAACAGAGGUAAUAAAACUUAUAACCAUGUCCGUGGACCACCUAGCAACGACUACAAGCACAGGAGUGAGCCGAAGGCGCGCCGCCGUCAUCGCCCCUCACCGAAGUCGGACAAAUCUUAUUGUAGUAGAUAGUUGGAAAGUCGUCGUGCUAAGACUCCAUAGGACCAACGCACCAGAGUAGCAACCAUCGCCGACGAAGAAAGUCGUAGAUUAGAAAGAUCAAACCUGUAAACACCCAAACGAAGACGAACGAAGACCGGAUCGAAGCAGGUCUACCGAAGAUUAGCACCGGCCGAAUCUCGCGAGAUCCUGCACACGCCCUCCGACGAUGCUACGCACACCACCGGGACGGGAAUAUAACGUGAAAGACAUUAUUCCUACUAAUAGACAUAGCCGCCGCCACACAGCCCCAACCAGGACGCUGAAUCUAACAAGAACAAGAACGGGGUCCCUCCCGCCGGCGGGGAUCAUGAUCCUCCGCACCUUCAUGGCCUAGAGACCAUCGUUGUUGGGGCAGACCGGCGGCGGGAUCGACGGGAGGAGAAGAGCUUUUCUUGUGAAGGGGAAAAGAGAUGGAAGAAUAAAUGUAUCAGUCCAACACCCAUUUGACCAUGAGCAAUAAAUAAAUAAAUAAAUACUAUAGCAUCGUUCACGUUUUUUGCACCACAACAUCCAUUUAAUUAACGAAGGAAUUAUCAGAAUCCCCUGAUCUUGACCAGUCCACCACAAAACAUCCAUUUACAGGCUGUUCCCCCCAAACGGCUCCGGCCCGCAGAGAAUCCGGGUCACCAGCCUCCACCUUCCUUCCCACUUCCAAUGCAGAAAUGCAGACGUUUGCUGGGCACGUGUUCCCUCUCCUCGACACGCCUCCCUCUCCUCCUCGCAGUCCCCUCAUCUGACCAAAGCUCCUCCGAGUCAUUUCCCCUCUCUGUCCAUCCGCUACCGCUUCUUCGUGAUCUCUAGCCCUAUCAACGAAUUGUCCCUCCACCCCGCGAUCGCAAGCUCGCCGCUUUGAUCCCCGCUUAGUUGUUGCGCACACACAGAGGGGAGAUGGAUGUGCAAUACCAUGAGGUGAGCAAACGCAACUCCAUCUGCAAAUGCAUGUCGACAUGCUCCAUCUCUGGGUUGCAAGCACGCAUCGCUAGCGACGGUGCAUGCGCGCGUGGUUGAAUCUUGAUCAUGUUCAUGAUGCGUUUGAUGGUUUUUCGACUGAUCCUGCAGGAGUACGUGAGGAAUCCGAGGGGGGUGCAGCUCUUCACAUGCGGCUGGCUGCCUGCUUCUUCCUCGCCCAAGGCGCUCGUCUUCCUUUGCCAUGGUACGUACUGCUCGUUGCUUAAUUUGCGAAUCGACCGCUGCCUAAGCUUUGCGCAUUGCCAACUUCAACAGUAGCUAUGACUAAUUCUGGUGGCUUCAUCGAUCAUACUACAUUGACUCUCUCUCUUUUUUUUCCUUGUAUGUGUGUCAAUUUGCUUCAGGGUAUGGCAUGGAAUGCAGCGUCUUCAUGAGAGGUACUAAUGCUGCUUAAUCUUCAUGGCUCUUGGUACCUAUCUCCGUUUAUUUCCUCUUUUGCUUUUGGAGGUAGUUUCAGAGAAAAUUCAAAAUUAAAAAAUAUGAUAAGGGGUAUGGAAGCCCUUCUACUACAAGAUAAUGUUUCAGGAAUUAUUUUCGGUGUGCGGUCGUACCAUAUGGGCCUAUAUUUAUUGAAUUCAUAUAUAUAUUUGUUCUUGCAUCAUCCAUGACUUCACAUGCAUGCACUGCGGAUCUAGGCUUCAUAUAUGUUAGUGCCACUGAUCCUUCUAGAUGCAUGCAUCAGCCUCAGUCUGGUUGUUAAUAGGAGUAUGGGAAUAGCAUGGGAGGCUACCAGCCUUCUUAUUUCCUUUCUGGUGAAUGCCAGGAGCAUUCUCUGGCCUAAUUUGAUCAUGUCCUCCAGUCAGAUUUAACAGUUACUCCCUCCGUCCCAUAAUAUGAGACCAUUUUUGACACUAACACUCUUAUAUUAUGGGACGGAUGGAGUAACCUUAACAUAGAAAGAGCGCUGUGGACUACACAGUUUCAUAGUAUCCCAAGUUCUUUCGAUGUUUGCUGAUCGUCAAACAAUUUUAAAUCUUUCCCUUUAGUGGAUCGAAACACAAGCUUUGCGUUUUCUCGAAAAACAUCAAAUUGCAUUGCAGUCUAGGGAAAGAUGGUAGAAGAGAAUUUUGUGUAAACAGAUUAGUGGCCACAGACCAUUAAUUGCCGUGUACUUUAAGGAAUAGGUUGCAGAUGCUGAUAGGGGACUACAACUACUUGCUGGUGAUAGAUACUGUGACUUCAUGAAUUGGACAGUUUUCGGUAGCAGAUGCUGCUAUAUAUACUUGCUGGUUGACAAUGGUCUUAUUCGAUCCAGUAUAUCCGUAAUUUUUUAACUAAUUGUCGAGGGUACAUGCAUGAAAAUCAUCUUGAAAACCAUGCUACUACAGAAAAGGAGUUGACAUAUGGCAGACAAGAACUGGUACUGUGCCUUUGCUAAUUAAUACUGGUCCUCUGCUCUAGGAAGAAGUAUUUUGCUCAUUGUAGGGUAGUCUCAAAUUCAGAUCAAUUACUUACCACCCAAAAAGAAUCGGAUCGUCAUUUAUUCUCUCAUUUGAUCUUCACACACACACACACACACAUAAUCUGCUGGCAUGGGAAAGCUGCUUUUGAUAAAGAGGGAAGAUGAUGAUGCCAACGCACUUCUGAAGUUCCACCACGGAAUAUAUUCGUUUGAUAAUUCCAGCAUAAAAGGUGAUUGCAACCUUAUAUUCGUGAGUGAUAUUGGUGAGCUGCAGCCAAGAUUGUUGGUUGCCGUAGAAGGUUAACUAACCUACCCACUUUUGGUAGCGUUUCGCCCGGAGAGUUUGAUUCAAACAGGCCACGGCUCCGUGGUUGGGUCUACGGUUGUGCCGCCUAUCCACCCGGAUUAGAUUUUAAUGGACUAAUUGAUCAACGCAUUGAUGAACUUUGCUUCUGUACACUUCCUAGAAAAGUUUACGAAUUUUGAUGCAGAUUAAAGGUCGAGAUUAGAAGGUACCCGUUCAAUAAUACUAGUAUACUGUUUUUGUAUUCCAAUCAAUCUAUUCAAUACGUUUGAUCUGCAGACUNNNNNNNNNNNNNNNNNNNNNNNNNNNNNNNNNNNNNNNNNNNNNNNNNNNNNNNNNNNNNNNNNNNNNNNNNNNNNNNNNNNNNNNNNNNNNNNNNNNNNNNNNNNNNNNNNNNNNNNNNNNNNNNNNNNNNNNNNNNNNNNNNNNNNNNNNNNNNNNNNNNNNNNNNNNNNNNNNNNNNNNNNNNNNNNNNNNNNNNNNNNNNNNNNNNNNNNNNNNNNNNNNNNNNNNNNNNNNNNNNNNNNNNNNNNNNNNNNNNNNNNNNNNNNNNNNNNNNNNNNNNNNNNNNNNNNNNNNNNNNNNNNNNNNNNAAUUCCAACAUAAAAGGCUAUGUAACCUUAUAUUCGAAGUGAUGGUGGCAAGCGGCGUAUAGGCUGUUUGGUGGCUGACUCGGAAGGUUAACUGACCCUCUACGAUAGUAUUUGGCAUAGAGUUUCAUUUAAACUAGAAGUGGCCGCACGCCUUGCGACGCUGAUUUUUGCUGUGGGCUCCACUUUGUCAGUGAGCAUAAUGAAGGAAUGCGGUGCAGAGCGGCAGAAGGCACUACGUCGUCGAACCCCUCCCCUCACCGAGCAACACGCACGCCCCCGCUCGGCCACACCCACAACCCUAGAAGAAAUCGGCUUACAAAGGCCAAACACCAUCAGACAACCGGGUCCCACACGGUACCCCAGCCCCGAUUCAGACAGAGCCUCCUAAAGCUCCAUUUCGAGGGUGCUUAGUACUCCCUCUGUCCCAUAAUAUAAGAGCGUUUUGACACUACACUGUAUCUGUAAAGACAAUACCUGAAAGCAAUAAUAGAGUGGUAAUCGUUAAUCAAUAGGAGAUGUUCAUUAGGUGUUGUUGUCAUGGACAUGGUAUGUUCCAUUUAUUCUGAAAUCCAUCUUCUGGAUAACCCGUCUCUACUUAUGGUACAUGGAUAUCUAAAAAUAGUUUGAGUUGCCAAACGAACAGACAGUAGGAAUGCCUUCGUAUUUGGAUAUGCACAAGUGUCCGUGUUAUGUGUUGACCCAUCUUUCAUGCACCUUAUUACUAAAAAACGAUGUUUGAUGCAACAAAUGUGUUGGACACAGUUUGCAUACAUCACAAACACUUGGUCAGAAGUUUGGGUUUUGAAACCUAUUGCGCUACCAUGGUUCCCGGUACAAGUUGCUAUCAUGCCCAGAAGCAGGAAAUGACAGUUUUGACUAGCAGCUACAAUCAAGAAACCAUUACUUGCGACUCUAAUCACUUUUAUUAACAAGCCUUUUAUUUAUGAUUGCAGACGUGGUCAUAUCUUUCUUCCAUUUCAAUCUGUUAAUUUUCAUAGUUUUAAGGCUCCAAACUGGUCUAUGCAUGUCGCUAUCGUUGCUUGGGUUCCGAUUGAAACACAAGAGAUUGAUCCUGUAUAUAUGAUGACGCAGCUGACUCCCGCUGUCUUGCAAGUUGUAACUGAUUGUUAUUGUUUCCUGACAGCUUGCGGGUUCAAAUUGGCCGCGGCUGGGUAUGGCGUGUUCGGGAUCGACUACGAAGGCUAUGGCAAGUCCAUGGGCGCCAGAUGCUACAUCCAGAAAUUCGACCGCCUCGUCGCCGACUGCGACCGCUUCUUCAAGUCCAUCUGCGGUAAUAGAAACGAACACAUUCAAGUCCCAAUACGAUCUCCAUAUGAAGGAUGCAUGAACCAGAUGCUGCAUUCUGUCUCUGUGUACAGACCUGGAGGAGUACCGGAGCAAGAGCCGGUUCCUGUACGGCGAGUCCAUGGGCGGCGCCGUCGCCCUGCUGCUGCACAGGAAGGACCCGGCCUUCUGGGACGGCGCCGUCCUCGUGGCGCCCAUGUGCAAGGUGCUGCCAUCAACUUCUACUGCCAUGAUGAUGAACUUCUACUGCAAUGCCUGCCUCUGCCUGCUAGCUCAAGUGUAGGUUGUUGUUUAUGGCGUUGCAGAUAUCGGAGAAGGUGAAGCCGCAUCCGGUGGUGGUGACCCUCCUGACGCAGGUGGAGGAGCUCAUCCCGACCUGGAAGAUCGUGCCCACCAAGGACGUGAUCGACUCCGCCUUCAAGGACCCCGUCAAGCGCGAAAACAUCAGGAGGAACAAGCUCAUCUACCAGGACAAGCCGCGGCUCAAGACGGCGCUGGAGCUGCUCAGGACCAGCAUGGACGUCGAGGACAGCCUCUCCGAGGUGACCAUGCCCUUCUUCAUCCUGCACGGCGAGGCCGACACCGUGACCGACCCGGAGGUCAGCCGCGCGCUGUACGACCGGGCCGCCAGCACCGACAAGACAAUCAAGCUCUACCCGGGGAUGUGGCACGGCCUCACCGCCGGCGAGCCAGACGACAAUGUGGAGCUGGUCUUUGCCGACAUCGUCGCCUGGCUCAACAAGCGCAGCCAUCACCGCAAGCCUGAACACGGCGGCCGGGUAACAAGCGCCCCGUCGGAGCCUGCAAGGUACCAACGGCGGCCGGUUUCCGGCGGCAGCGGCAUGGACAGCCCGGUGUCGAUGCCUCGGCGCCGAGGCCGCUUCCUCUGCGGGCAAUGUAGAAUGUAAACAUGCAACUGUUUUUGUAAGGAAAAAGAAGCAGCAGAUGAUGAAAGCAUGUAAAUAGUGUGCUGCACGAAUGCUCAGUAAACUGAAUAAAAUUUUGCUCCACUCUGAAGUUCUCUUGUGUUCUGACGAGACAUUAGCUUCCUGGAGCAGCUGGACUGAUGCACAUUUCUGAAACAACAUGUAAUGUAUACCAUAUAAUGCUAUCAUCUCAACAAAGAAUUAGAAGAUCCAGAUUUGAUUUAUAUAUCCAACAAUCCAACUGGGAUAUCUGUCCGUAUAGCUGAGACUGACGGAAAAGGCGACGACAAAAAUGAAUAACAUUACAUCAACAACCAAGGUAUUUAGCAGUAAAACUCUCGACGACGACUACGUGGCCAUAGCUCUGUCAGUGGGGGGGAUUAACCAAGAAGCAAGCUAGAAGCAGGCCACCAAAAUUUCAAAGUAUAGUACUCCGGUCUACUCUUUACUGGCCUUCG